UUUGUGGUAGCAGGCAGAAUGAUUGGGCAUUCAUUUUUGAACGAUGGGCCACGAUUGCAUGGCCUCAGCAAGGCUAUUAUUCACAUGUUGGUCCAUGCUGAUAGAGACACUGUCACUGUCCAGCUCGAUGAUGUGCCAGAUCUAGAUAUUCGUUCUACAAUUUACAGGCUUGACGGUAACAAACACCUCACUGAGCAGCAGAAGGAUGACAUUAACAAUUUGGCCAUUUCCUGGGACUUGCCACCCGUCAGUGCAGAAAACUGCAGAUGGCUGUUCCAACAGCUUCUCCAUCAUGCAGUGAUAGGCUGAACUAAAAGGCAGACAAAACACAUCAGAAAAGGUCUGAAGGACACCGGAUUGUUGACUAUGCUUCAACAAAGACCUGACACAGCCUCAGUGGUCUUUCCCCAGCAUGAAGACAGCAUUCUUACUGCACAGGCUGUUCUUAGCCACAUUGUUUGGCCAGGAGAUGAGGGCGAUGAUGAAGACGAUGAUGAUCCACCUUACCCACUAAGCAUCCAAAUGCAAACAGUGGGAUUUCUGAAGACCUACAUUGAAACAGGCAAG